UACGGGGGGGGUAAGCGUUGUUCGGAAUUACUGGGCGUAAAGGGCGCGUAGGCGGCCUUCUAAGUCGAACGUGAAAUCCCCGGGCUCAACCCGGGAACUGCGUCCGAUACUGGGGGGCUUGAAUCCGGGAGAGGGAUGUGGAAUUCCAGGUGUAGCGGUGAAAUGCGUAGAUAUCUGGAGGAACACCGGUGGCGAAGGCGGCAUCCUGGACCGGUAUUGACGCUGAGGCGCGAAAGCCAGGGGAGCAAACGGG
rnacentral:rRNA from 1 species